rnacentral:piRNA from 1 species
UCGUCGUGGCUUCAAAGUGCCACGUUUGGC